ensembl:snoRNA
AGCACUGCGUGGUAUCUGCUGCCAGCUGCUGCACCAGCUGGUUAGUUCAAAGGUCAGUGCUAAAGAAACUCAGCUUCUGGCAUCGUUGGUCUUCAUGCUGCCUGUGUGUGGAGUCCUGGUAUUUCAGCUGAAACAAGC